CACCGCGGUUAUACGAGAGACCCUAAUUGAUAGCUACGGCGUAAAGAGUGGUUUGGGAAAAUAUAAAACAAAGCUAAAGACCUGCUAAGCCGUUACACGCACCCCGAAGGCACGAAAUCCUAACACGAAAGUAGCUUUACCACCACCCCAGCACCACGAAAGCUAAGAAA
rnacentral:rRNA from 1 species